AUAUAUAUAUGCAUGCUACUCCAAUCUCACUGACAAACAUUUCUUUCUUUUGUAUAUGUCGGAAUUAAUCUCCCUCUCCCAACCCAACCCAACCCAACCCAACAGGGAAUUAAGGAUAAGAAAGGACAAGUCAAAUCCACGAUCCAUCGACGGUUCUGGUUAGUGAUCAAUAAAAAUGGAUUUCAGGGAUGACGGUCUCAAAUGAGUUUUCAAAUUUUGGGUGGGUAUAUAUGGAAUAAAUUAAUCUAAAACUAGUCUUUUAUAUCUACCACUUUAGUUUUUAUUCAGGAUGGUUGUGUCCGAUCAAAACUACCUAUUUAAUUACUUGUGCAGCUGUGCUUCCCCUCC
rnacentral:lncRNA from 1 species